rnacentral:rRNA from 1 species
CAAGGAAUUUUCGGCAAUGGGCGCAAGCCUGACCGAGCAACGCCGCGUGGUGGAUGACGGCCUUCGGGUUGUAAACACCUUUUCGAGGGGAAGACUUCGACGGUUCCCUCGGAAUAAGCCCCGGCUAACUCUGUG